rnacentral:rRNA from 1 species
UACAGAGGCCCCAAGCGUUACUGAGAAUCACUGGGUUUAAAGGGUGCGUAGGUGGCGCGUAAAGUCCGUUGUGAAAUCCCUUGGCUCAACCAAGGAACUGCUUCGGAUACUGGCGUGCUUGAGGCUAGUAGAGGUCACUGGAACUGACGGUGGAGCGGUGAAAUGCGUAGAUAUCGUCAGGAACGCCAAUGGUGAAGACAGGUGACUGGGCUAGUUCUGACACUGAGGCACGAAAGCGUGGGGAGCGAACGGG